rnacentral:rRNA from 1 species
GGCUAAAACUCAAAGGAAUUGACGGGGACCCGCACAACCGGUGGAGCGUGUGGUUCAAUUUGAGACGAAGCAAAAAACCUUACCAGGGUUUGACAUAUUACCGUUUUAUACCUUUGGAAACAAGGGUAGAUCCGUAAGGAUGGUAGUACAGGUGCUGCAUGGCUAUCGUCAGCUCGUGCCGUGAGGUGUUCCCUUAAGUGGGGAAACGAGCGCAACCCCCAUGUAAUGUUAUAUAUUCAUUGCAGACAGGUCGCCGCAUAGGCGACAGGAAGGAGGGGAAGACGUUAAGUCAGCACGGCCCUUAUACCCUGGGAUACACACACCCUACAAUGGCGAAAAACAAUGAGUUGCAAGCUAGCAAUAGCAAGCUAAUCUCUGAAAUUUCGCCUCAGUUCAGAUUGGGGUCUGCAACCCGACCCCAUGAAGUCGGAAUCGGUAGUAAUCGCGGAUCAGCAGGCCGCGGUGAAUACGUUCUCGGGUCUUGUACACACCGCCCGUC